GAUAACUGCUCGAAAGAGCAGCUAAUACCGCAUACGACCUGAGGGUGAAAGCGGGGGAUCGCAAGACCUCGCGCGAUUGGAGCGGCCGAUAUCAGAUUAGGUAGUUGGUGAGGUAAAGGCUCACCAAGCCGACGAUCUGUAGCUGGUCUGAGAGGACGACCAGCCACACUGGGACUGAGACACGGCCCAG
rnacentral:rRNA from 1 species